GCUGACACAGCCCGGCCAAUCUCCAGCAGACCCUCCCUCCCAGACCCUCCCACCUCCUGGACAGCAUUCAUGUUGAAGGCAGCUUCAACAUGGAUGCUGUCCAGGAUGUGGGAGGGUCUGGGAGGGAGGGUCUGCUGGAGAUUGGCCGGGCUGUGUCAG
rnacentral:miRNA from 1 species